rnacentral:miRNA from 1 species
UUCUAAGAGUAGAGUACUCUACUUCUAAGAGUAGAGUACUCUACUUCUAAGAGUAGAGUACUCUACUUCUAAGAGUAGAGUACUCUACUUCUAAGAG